CCAAUAGCGUAUAUUAAAGUUGUUGCAGUUAAAAAGCUCGUAGUUGAAUUUCGGGGUUCUACCGUUGGUCGGGCAAUUGUCUGUACUGGCGUGUGGAAUUUCUACCUUCUGGGGAACCAUCAUGUUAUUAAUUUAGCGUGGUGGGAAACCAGGACCUUUACCUUGAAAAAAUUAGAGUGUUCAAAGCAGGCUUACGUCUGAAUACAUUAGCAUGGAAUAAUAAAAUAGGACGGUGGUCCUGUUUUGUUGGUUUCUGAAUCACCGUAAUGAUUAAUAGGGAUAGUUGGGGGCAUUAGGAUUCAAGUGUCAGAGGUGAAAUUCUUGGAUUUAUUGAAGACUAACUUCUGCGAAAGCAUUUGCCAAGGAUGUUUUCAUUAAUCAAGAACGAAAGUUAGGGGAUCGAAGACGAUCAGAUACCGUCGUAGUCUUAACCAUAAACUAUGCCGACUAGGGAUCGGACGAUGUUAAUUUUUCUUGACUCGUUCGGCGCCUUACG
rnacentral:rRNA from 1 species